ACCCAUCUCGCAUAAUGCGAUAUUGACCACUCAUCAUAUCCUGUUUCUGCCUGAAGGAUCAUAAUCUCUCUUCUCUCUUCUCUCUUCCCUCUCUGCAUAACUCUCUUUCCUCUCUUCACUCCGUCGCACAAGUUUGAGUAGUGAAGGACCUCCCAAGAUCAAUUUUCUCAGCCAUUCCGUAUAUAUAUAUUUCAGUAUAACCAAGAUCAGUCUUCUCCUCAUAGCCGUUGUCUUCUCCUCCAUGUUCUUAUUAAUUAAUCCAAAUGAUGGAGAAGCUUAAGUUGAGAGAGGAGAACUACAAAUCACGAGCACAAAACUGUCGAAACAUAUUGGGGAAUUUCUAGAUUUUAAUUAAAUGCUCAGAUUUGGAAUUAUUGUUUAUUGAUUAUUAAGAUAUGUUGUUUGUAUAAUUGUAUUAGAUUUUUCUUUUUAUAGAAAAAUAAAUGAGAGGUCCUAACCCAGAAAGAGAAAAUUUUCCAAUUAAGUUCAAUGAGUAUUUCUCAGCUUUGUUGUAUCAAAGAGAAACAACUCAAUAUAGAGGACUGAAAUAGCA